rnacentral:rRNA from 1 species
GACGAACGCUGGCGGCGUGCUUAACACAUGCAAGUGGAGCGACGAACCGGGGGCUUGCCCCGGGGCAGAGCCGCGAACGGGUGAGUAACACGUGGGUAACCCACCCGACUGACCGGGACAACCCGACGGAAACUCGGGCGUAAUACCGGAUGUGCUCCUUGACCUCGAGGUCAAGGCGUAAAGAUAGCUUCGGCCUUCGCAUCGGGACGGGCCCGCGGCCCAUUAGCUUGUUGGUGGGGUAACGGCCUACCAAGGCGACGAUGGGUAGCUGGUCUGAGAGGACGAUCAGCCACAC